rnacentral:rRNA from 1 species
GUGGGGAAUAUUGCACAAUGGGCGCAAGCCUGAUGCAGCAACGCCGCGUGAGGGAUGACGGCCUUCGGGUUGUAAACCUCUUUUAGUAGGGAAGAAGCGACUGAAUUUAUUCUGAGUGACGGUACCUGCAGAAAAAGCACCGGCUAACUACGUGCCAGCAGCCGCGGUAAUACGUAGGGUGCAAGCGUUGUCCGGAAUUAUUGGGCGUAAAGAGCUCGUAGGCGGUUUGUCGCGUCUGCUGUGAAAUCUGGGGGCUCAACCCCCAGCCUGCAGUGGGUACGGGCAGACUAGAGUGCGGUAGGGGAGAUUGGAAUUCCUGGUGUAGCGGUGGAAUGCGCAGAUAUCAGGAGGAACACCGAUGGCGAAGGCAGAUCUCUGGGCCGUAACUGACGCUGAGGAGCGAAAGCAUGGGGAGCGAACAGG